GGAAUACCUUUAAAGUUAUUAAGUUUUUUAAUAGCGUUGAUAAUUAGCUCGCUAACAUAGCCGUGUUUUGUGAGGUUACUAACCGUAAGUUAACAGCUGUGAAAGGUGGAUUUGUGGACUGUCUGAGAAUAAACACUGUGGAGCCCGAGCUACACUGAAACUGGACUCAAGCCCAGGGAGAAAACGGGACUUAAAGACAUGCACAUCAGGAGUUUGACACUGAACCGGAGUAUAAGUGGAGUCCUCUGUGAUGGAAGACGUCCAGUCCUGCAGGAGAUCACAUGAAGUGGUUCUGAUUACGUUUCCACAGUGAAAGGGGGCCUUCUUGAGCUACAGGUCCCUGGCUGGGCGGGGCUGACCUACUUCUAGUUUCUGCUGCCACCUCAACUCACCUGCAGCUCAUUCAGCAAUCAGCAUUUAAGAGCAAUUAAGAGUUUGCUGUUGCCU